rnacentral:misc_RNA from 1 species
UUUCCGUAGGUGAACCUGCGGAAGGAUCAUUAUUGUAUAACCGAGGUGCGAGGGCUGUCGCUGACCCGAAAGGUCGUGCACGCCCGAGUGCCCUCACAGACAUCCAUCUCACCCCUAUGUGCACCACCGCGUGGGUCCCCCUUUGGCUUGUUCGGAGGGGGGCUUACGUUUUCACACAAACUUUGUAUGCAGUGUAGAAUGUAUUUUUUGUUUUUGCGAUCACGCAAUCAAUACAACUUUCAACAACGGAUCUCUUGGCUCUC